GACUGAAACACAGGCUGCUGACAGCAGAAGCAGGACACUAUAAAGGUCAGAGACCCAGGAAAGCAGGAACGGAAGUGAGCUAAGUGAGCUUCACAACAACACGAGCAGCACAGUAAUCGGGCAAAGAUGGAUGACGUCUGAGUCAGGAGCAGAUUGUGGGGACUUGAUGAAGCUGCCGCGCAGAGCAGGGGCAGAUCCAGAUCAGGACAGAUCAGACAUACAAGAAAGAGAGGUCAAAGAUUAAAUAAGUGAGUAAGAGAAACCAACAAUGUUUUCUUGUCUGUCUGUUUUGCAAGGAACUGCGUGUUUACAUGAGAACUUACCUUUGUUUUACUUACUUUUUAGAUUUGGGCUCUGGGAUAUGAAUAAUGAAUGAGAUGUAAAGCAGGUGCUUGUCAGUGUGUGAAUCACAUGAAACCAACACCCCUGUCUUAAAAUGAGUGCAGUUAGGUUACAUUUGCACCCAUUUGUCAUUUAAAGUGUCAGGGCUGCCCACCUAGCUAAAGAACAGAUCCUGCAUACUUGCUUGUCAUCUCCUCAUCAGAUAACCUGUUUAAGGACAUCCACGUCCACCAGCCAAUGUUGGUUCCUCUGUUCCACUCCGGUGGAGUACACCGACCUAAAACUACUGCAAGCCAUGUUUAAACCUUAGACUUGUUACUGCUCGCUUUCUACCAUCUCUAACAUCUACCGUUCUCUCAUCAAGGAUCACCAGGAUUUCCUCUCGUCACGCCACUGACCUACAGCCAUCCUGAGAACUCUUGGACGUUUGCUCUUCCAUUACAACUACUCAAUAAACCACCUUCCCUCUCA